rnacentral:rRNA from 1 species
GACGAAGGGGGCUAGCGUUGUUCGGAAUUACUGGGCGUAAAGCGCGCGUAGGCGGUUCUUCAAGUCAGGCGUGAAAGCCCCGGGCUUAACCCGGGAAUAGCGCUUGAUACUGUGGGACUUGAGUCCGGGAGAGGAUAGUGGAAUUCCCAGUGUAGAGGUGAAAUUCGUAGAUAUUGGGAAGAACACCAGUGGCGAAGGCGGCUAUCUGGACCGGUACUGACGCUGAGGCGCGAAAAGCGUGGGGAGCAAACAGG